rnacentral:rRNA from 1 species
UACGUAGGGUGCGAGCGUUAAUCGGAAUUACUGGGCGUAAAGCGUGCGCAGGCGGUUUUGUAAGCCAGAUGUGAAAAUCCCCCGGGCUUAACCUGGGAAUGGCAUUUGGGACUGCAAGGCUGGAGUGCGGCAGAGGAGACUGGAAUUCCUGGUGUAGCAGUGAAAAUGCGUAGAUAUCAGGAGGAACACCGGUGGCGAAGGCGGGUCUCUGGGCCGUAACUGACGCUGAGGAGCGAAAGCGUGGGGAGCGAACAGG